rnacentral:rRNA from 1 species
AGUGAACGCUGGCGGUAGGCCUAACACAUGCAAGUCGAGCGGCAGCACAGUAAGAGCUUGCUCUUACGGGUGGCGAGUGGCGGACGGGUGAGGAAUACAUCGGAAUCUACUUUUUCGUGGGGGAUAACGUAGGGAAACUUACGCUAAUACCGCAUACGACCUACGGGUGAAAGCAGGGGAUCUUCGGACCUUGCGCGAUUGAAUGAGCCGAUGUCGGAUUAGCUAGUUGGCGGGGUAAAGGCCCACCAAGGCGACGAUCCGUAGCUGGUCUGAGAGGAUGAUCAGCCACACUGGAACUGAGACACGGUCCAGACUCCUACGGGAGGCAGCAGUGGGGAAUAUUGGACAAUGGGCGCAAGCCUGAUCCAGCCAUACCGCGUGGGUGAAGAAGGCCUUCGGGUUGUAAAGCCCUUUUGUUGGGAAAGAAAAGCAGCAGGUUAAUACCCCGCUGUUCUGACGGUACCCAAAGAAUAAGCACCGGCUAACUGCGU